rnacentral:pre_miRNA from 1 species
GAAACCAAAGUUGGGUUGGGCCUGUUAGAUUCCAUAGGCGACCCAUACUUGGUUUCAA